rnacentral:rRNA from 1 species
GGGUAACCUGCCUGUAAGACUGGGAUAACUCCGGGAAACCGGGGCUAAUACCGGAUGGUUGUCUGAACCGCAUGGUUCAGACAUAAAAGGUGGCUUCGGCUACCACUUACAGAUGGACCCGCGGCGCAUUAGCUAGUUGGUGAGGUAACGGCUCACCAAGGCGACGAUGCGUAGCCGACCUGAGAGGGUGAUCGGCCACACUGGGACUGAGACACGGCCCAGACUCCUACGGGAGGCAGCAGUAGGGAAUCUUCCGCAAUGGACGAAAGUCUGACGGAGCAACGCCGCGUGAGUGAUGAAGGUUUUCGGAUCGUAAAGCUCUGUUGUUAGGGAAGAACAAGUGCCGUUCAAAUAGGGCGGCACCUUGACGGUACCUAACCAGAAAGCCACGGCUAACUACGUGCCAGCAGCCGCGGUAAUACGUAGGUGGCAAGCGUUGUCCGGAAUUAUUGGGCGUAAAGGGCUCGCAGGCGGUUUCUUAAGUCUGAUGUGAAAGCCCCCGGCUCAACCGGGGAGGGUCAUUGGAAACUGGGGAACUUGAGUGCAGAAGAGGAGAGUGGAAUUCCACGUGUAGCGGUGAAAUGCGUAGAGAUGUGGAGGAACACCAGUGGCGAAGGCGACUCUCUGGUCUGUAACUGACGCUGAGGAGCGAAAGCGUGGGGAGCGAACAGGAUUAGAUACCCUGGUAGUCCACGCCGUAAACGAUGAGUGCUAAGUGUUAGGGGGUUUCCGCCCCUUAGUGCUGCAGCUAACGCAUUAAGCACUCCGCCUGGGGAGUACGGUCGCAAGACUGAAACUCAAAGGAAUUGACGGGGGCCCGC